GGGAGAAAAUGCUGGUGAGGUCAGCCUCUGAAUUCCCUUCCUAUUCCCUGCCUCACCCCAGCCCCUAAACACACCCACGUGUUCACAUCCCGAGGCCAAAUCCGGGAGAACUUUCUGUUUUAGCCUCCUGCACCCAAGCCAGGGCCGCCUGGUGUGUACCCGUAUCGUGGAGAUUUCAGCAGUGGCGACUUCAGCAUCGGAGCCCCCCUGAUUCCAAGACGCUCGCAGCUCUUGGUCCUGAGCCAGGGUGACGUCGUGCCCAGAGGGCCCACACCCUCGGGUGACCGGGAGUUACUUGACCGUCCCCCAAGACUGGAAAGGCAGCAGCAGCUGCCACCUGGAGCAGAGGGCUGUCCCCGGUGCCCCGUGCUACAGAGAGAAGUCGACGAACUUAAACAGCAGCUUGCGUCCAUGCAGUCCCUGACUGACAAGUUCCACAGCCUUUGAAGUUGAAGUUGAGCCCGGCAUGCAUCUUCCGACAAGAGGAGCAGCUGUUCCCCCUUGGAGCCAGCGAGCUGCGGCCAAGCUGGUCCCCUCCUGUUCUACGUCAGCCGGGGCUUCCUCUCCCCUUUCUGUGGCCUCCUCCCUACCCCAGUU